AGCCCUUUUGGCUCUCUGACUAGCAUCAUGGCGGUUGGCAAGAACAAGCGCCUUACGAAAGGCGGCAAAAAGGGAGCCAAGAAGAAAGUGGUUGAUCCAUUUUCUAAGAAAGAUUGGUAUGAUGUGAAAGCACCUGUUAUGUUCAAUAUAAGAAAUAUUGGAAAGACGCUUGUCACCAGGACCCAAGGAACCAAAAUUGCAUCUGAUGGUCUCAAGGAUCGUGUGUUUGAAGUGAGUCUUGCUGAUUCGCAGAAUGAUGAAGUUGCAUUUAGAAAAUUCAAGCUGAUUACUGAAGAUGUUCAGGGUAAAAACUGCCUGACUAACUUCCAUGGCAUGGAUCUUACCCAUGACAAAAUGUGUUCCAUGGUCAAAAAAUGGCAGACAAUGAUUGAAGCUCAUGUUGAUGUCAAGACUACCAAUGGUUACUUGCUUCGUCUGUUCUGUGUUGGUUUUACUAAAAAACAUCUAACAAUCAGAUACGGAAGACCUCUUACACUCAGCACCAACAGGUCCGCCAAAUCCGGAAGAAGAUGAUGGAAAUCAUGACCCUAGAGGUGCAGACAAAUGACUUGAAAGAAGUGGUCAAUAAAUUGAUUCCAGACAGCAUUGGAAAAGACAUAGAAAAGGCUUGCCAAUCUAUUUAUCCUCUCCAUGAUGUCUUUGUUAGAAAAGUAAAAAUGCUGAAGAAGCCCAAGUUUGAAUUGGGAAAGCUCAUGGAGCUUCAUGGUGAAGGCAGUAGUUCUGGAAAAGCCACUGGGGACGAGACAGGUGCUAAAGUUGAAAGAGCUGAUGGAUAUGAACCACCAGUCCAAGAAUCUGUUUAAAGUUCAGACUUCAAAUAGUGGCAAAUAAAAAGUGCUAUUUGUGAUGGUUUGCUUCUGAACAUUCUUUUUUUAAAAAGAAUCUGACGGCUUGGUUCUGGAAAAGCCACUGGGGACGAGACAGGUGCUAAAGUUGAACAAGCUGAUGGAUAUGAACCACCAGUCCAAGAAUCUGUUUAAAGUUCAGACUUCAAAUAGUGGCAAAUAAAAAGUGUUAUUUGU